rnacentral:rRNA from 1 species
AGAGUUNGAUCCUGGCUCAGGAUGAACGCUGGCGGCGUGCUUAACACAUGCAAGUCGAACGAAGCAUCACCGACGGAAGCCUUCGGGUGGAAGAUGGUGAUGACUUAGUGGCGGACGGGUGAGUAACGCGUGGGUAACCUGCCUCGUACAGGGGGAUAACAGUUGGAAACGACUGCUAAUACCGCAUAACCCGCCGGAGUCGCAUGACUCAGACGGAAAAGAUUUAUCGGUACGAGAUGGACCCGCGUCUGAUUAGCUUGUUGGUGAGGUAAUGGCUCACCAAGGCGACGAUCAGUAGCCGGCCUGAGAGGGUGAACGGCCACAUUGGGACUGAGACACGGCCCAAACUCCUACGGGAGGCAGCAGUGGGGAAUAUUGCACAAUGGGGGAAACCCUGAUGCAGCGACGCCGCGUGAGUGAAGAAGUAUUUCGGUAUGUAAAGCUCUAUCAGCAGGGAAGAAAAUGACGGUACCUGACUAAGAAGCCCCGGCUAACUACGUGCCAGCAGCCGCGGUAAUACGUAGGGAGCGAGCGUUAUCCGGAAUUACUGGGUGUAAAGGGAGUGUAGGCGGGAUUGUAAGUCAGAUGUGAAAACUUUGGGCUCAACUCAUAGACUGCAUUUGAAACUGCGAUUCUUGAGUGAAGUAGAGGUAAGCGGAAUUCCUAGUGUAGCGGUGAAAUGCGUAGAUAUUAGGAGGAACAUCAGUGGCGAAGGCGGCUUACUGGGCUUUAACUGACGCUGAGGCUCGAAAGCGUGGGGAGCAAACAGGAUUAGAUACCCUGGUAGUCCACGCUGUAAAC